AAGACUGACUACGCGGAGCUUGCCCUAGCAGAGGCAAAGACAAAGGCAAAAGCAACCCCCAGCAGGGCGAUGCAAGUGCCUUAAAGCAUGGUGGCGAAAUAUGUUUCAGGUGCGGGUCUCAGCAGCACUGGUCCCGUACAUGCACCACUAAGAAAUACCUGAUUGACAUAUAUCAGGAAUGAAAGAAACGCCAGAACUCAGAGGCUCACUUUAUCCAGGCGCCUGUAGACGCCACAACUGGAGAGCACCUUGAGUUGCCUCAGCCUGCUGCACAGUUUGAGCAUGCUGCCAUAAAUGUCGAUGCCACAGCUAAGAACGGUACUCCGUUAGGCAAAGUCGACUUCGAUUUCGAUACUGAUGAUCUCCCGUAGUCGAUCACGUUAUCAGUCAUUAGCUCCACAUUUAUUUCCAUAGCAAUUUUAUUUCUAGAAGAACAUUUAUUUGGUUAUGAUGUAAUAAAUGCUCCUGCUGAGCCCAUACUAUUUGGUUGAUUGAGAUUAAUUGCUUUGCAAUUUUAUUUAUUCCUCAUUCAUGGUUUAAUUGUUCUUGCUCUAUUAUAUGUUGUCAUCAUGAAUGAUGAACUAAAUCAAUAUUAUAUAUUAUUUAUAUAGAACAAGACUCACUUCCCACGAUGGAGGAAAACGAUGAACCAUGCCUGAUUGAUAGCGCAGCCACAAAUUCGAUUCUUAGAGAGACGAAAUAUUUUCAGACACUCCUGAAGAGGACUGAGAAUAUCACUACAAUUGUCGGCAACAAUGGCCGCAUUGUAGGCUCCGGUCGAGCCAUUGUUGUCCUCCCUAACGGUACUAGGAUCUUUAUUGAAGAAGCAUUCCUAUACCCAGGAGCAACUCGUACUCUCCUCACGUUCAAAGAUAUCCGUCGUAGCGGCUAUCACGUUACAACUGCAUGUGUGGGUGGUGCUGAAUACCUCCAUAUCACAUCAACAAACGAAUGUGAAACAAAAGUGGUAGAGAAAGCGCAAGGCACCUCCUCUGGGUUGUAUUACUCAAGAAUUAAACCACCCCCUGAAUUUGUUGCGAUGUCUACUAUAUUUAAGAAUCCUGAGUCUUUUCGAGUAUGGCAUGAAAGACUAGGACACCCUGGAUUAAGGAUGAUGCGGAACAUCAUAACUAGCUCUAUUGGCCAUGGCAUGAAAACCACACAAAUUCCUAAAGACUUCCUAUGCGUCUCUUGUGCUAAAGGAAAACUGAUAACUAAGCCCUCUUACCUGAAAGUAAAGGCUGAGUCCCCGAGUUUCCUGCAGAGACUUCAGGGUGAUAUUUGUGGUCCAAUCAACCCCCUAUCAGGGCCCUUCAGAUAUUUUAUGGUUCUUAUAGAUGCUUCUACUAAGUGGAGCCACGUGUGCCUGUUGUCCACGCGGAACCACGCAUUUGCAAAAUUUAUUGCCCAAAUUAUCCGUUUGCGUGCGAGCUUCCCGGAGAACCGCAUUCAGUCAAUCAGGAUGGAUAAUGCUGGAGAGUUUACCUCAAAGGCCUUUAAUGACUAUUGUCUUGCUUUGGGCAUAAAUGUAGAGCAUUCUGUACCGCAUGUCCAUACACAGAAUGGACUUGCUGAGUCCUUAAUUAAAAGAAUAAAAUUCAUAGCCAGGCCACUUCUACAAGAUAGCAAACUCCCGACCAGUUGUUGGGGACACACAGUUUUGCACGCUGCAGCCUUAAUCCAAUAUAGACCAUCUGCUUACCACUCUGCUUCUCCCCACCAGUUAACGCGUGGUCAACAACCAGUGGUUUCCCAUCUGCGAAAGUUCGGCUGUGCUGUAUACGUGCCGAUAUCACCACCCCAGCGUACAUCUAUGGGACCUCACCGGAAGUUGGGGAUCUAUGUUGGUUAUGAAUCUCUGUCCAUAAUCAAAUAUUUAGAGCCUAGAACCGGGGAUCUGUUCACGGCUCGGUACGCUGAUAGCAUCUUCGAUGAAGAGCAUUUCCCGGCAUUAGGGGGAGGAUUGUACCUUAAUAACAAAGAAUGCCGAGAAAUAGAAUGGAGUGCUAGUAGCAUCCAAUCGCUUGACCCACGCACUAGAGAAACCGAACUUGAAGUUCAACGAAUAAUACACCUGCAAAACUUAGCAAAUAAUCUGCCAGAUGCCUUUACUGAUAUAAGAGGAGUUUCGAAGUCGCAUAUUCCUGCGGCAAAUGCACCGGAGAGAGUGGAGAUACCUCUGCAGGGUAUGGACUCUACUCGUACUCCCCAUCCUAGGAAAAGGGGGAGAAAACCGGAUGAUUCAGUAUCAGCUAAGCGGGGACGCCUGCACCAGCAAGUUACUGAAGAUAAUGCAACACGCUUCCUUUCAGAUGUUCCAGCAGUAACACACCUUGAAGGUGAACGUCCUAGUGCAAAUGAGCGCACAAAUAAAAGCACAAGGACUUCGGAACAACCGGUUUCAAAUAACUUGGGAGAUCACAAAGAACCGGAUGAUUCAGUUGAAGAAAUUGCCAUAAACUAUGUUGAGACGGGAGAGUUAUAUAACCGAAAGACUACAGUUGUCGACACUGAUUUCGUCUCUAUGAUCGCUGUUGUAAUUGCUGAGGAUCCUGAACCAAAGUCCAUGGCAGAGUGCCAGAAGCGCUCAGAUUGGGUCAAAUGGAAAGAAGCAAUAGAGACGGAAUUGCUCUCGCUUUCAAAGAGGCAAGUAUUUGGGCCUGUCGCCCGCACGCCCCCCAAUGUUACCCCAGUCGGGUUCAAAUGGGUGUUCGUCCGAAAGAGGGAUGCGAACAAUGAGGUGGUGAGAUACAAAGCGAGACUUGUAGCACAAGGGUUCACGCAGAGACCCGGCAUCGAUUACGAUGAAACUUACUCCCCGGUAAUGAGUGGCACAACGUUCCGAUAUUUGAUAUCACUGGCAGCAGGUUUAAACUUAAAAAUGCAGAUGAUGGACGUAGUGACCGCAUACUUGUAUGGGUCAUUGGAUUCGGAAAUCUAUAUGAAGGUCCCAGAUGGGCUGAGAGUUUCGGAUGCCAAGUCAAAUCGCAACAUGUACAGCGUUAAGUUGCAGAGGGCGCUGUAUGGGCUUAAACAAUCUGGGCGGAUGUGGUACAAUCGGCUCAGUGAAUUCCUCCUGAAGAAGGGAUACGUAAAUAAUCCAGAUUCUCCUUGUGUAUUCAUUAGAAAAUCCCAGAAGGGUUUUUGCAUAGUUUCGGUCUAUGUUGAUGACUUGAAUAUCAUUGGAUAUGCUGAGGAUAUUGAGGAGGCCAGCGCCUACCUCAAGACAGAGUUUGAAAUGAAAGACUUGGGAGAAACCAAGUUUUGCUUGGGCCUGCAGAUCGAGCAUCUCCCAGAAGGAAUAUUUGUACACCAGUCGACCUAUUGUAAAAAGGUCCUUGAGAGAUUUAAUAUGAUUAAAGCUCACCCUUUAAAGACCCCGAUGGUCGUGAGAUCCCUUGAAAUGGAUACCGACCCAUUUAGACCAAAGAGUGAUGAUGAGAAAUCAUUGGGACCUGAAGUUCCUUACCUUAGCGCUAUUGGAGCACUGAUGUACCUUGCGAAUUGCACCAGGCCUGAUAUUGCAUUCGCGGUAAAUCUACUAGCUAGAUACAGUGCAGACCCAACCAGAAGACAUUGGGUAGGUGUUAAGACUAUACUUAGAUACCUCAAAGGCACUCAAGAUCUUGGCCUGUUUUUUCCGAAGAAUCAGGACCAGACUAUGGUGGGCUAUGCUGAUGCUGGAUAUCAGUCAGAUCCCCAUAAUGGUAUAUCUCAGACUGGCUUUGUAUUUCUAUGUGGUGGCACUGCUGUAUCCUGGAGAUCGUGCAAACAGACAUUAGUAACGACGUCUACUAACCACUCAGAAAUAAUCUCACUAUAUGAAGCCGCACGAGAAUGUGCUUGGCUACGACGGAUGACUAACUACAUCCAGAAGUCAUGUGGUUAUAACACCGCAAAUACCCCCACCAUUAUCUAUGAAGAUAAUGCUGCAUGUGUUGCACAAAUGGAAACGGGCUAUAUUAAGAGCAAUAUGACUAAGCAUAUCUGUCCUAAGUAUUUUUAUCCUCAUGAACUCCAGAACGAGGGUGAGAUAAAAAUCCUGCAAGUCAAGUCUUGUGAUAAUCUGGCUGAUUUAUUCACUAAAUCCUUACCUGCAGUCACAUUCAGAAAAUGUGUACGAGGUAUAGGGAUGAGACAUUUGAGAGACCUGCAGGGUUCAGAGGGAGAUCACCUCUGAAUUUCAGCCCUUACAAUUCGACCUGAAGAUCGUAUAUUAUACACCUUGAAGGUUAUAGUUGUCCUGAAGACACCCGUUGUACUCUUUUUCCCAUUGUGAGUUUUCCUGAAGUUUCUCACAGAUGGUUUUUAACGAGGCAACAAGUGCAAUACAUCGAGUGGCACUAUGCUCUCUUUCUCCAUUUUUUCCCACUGGGUUUUUCGGAGUUUUGAUGAGACAUAAGUCGUCACGGUAUUCGCCCAAGGGGGAGUGUUGAGAAACCCUAAAAGGGGUUUAAUGGGCUAAUACCGAAACUGCCCUUAGGGGUACACAGGUUAUAUAUAUGUACCCAUACCCAUCAUAAUAAAGAUAGACAGAAAGAGCUUUCAUCCACUGUGUCUCUUAUUCCUCUCUGUGUUGGGUUGCUGGGAAGGGAACAUGCUUCUACAACUUCUCACGUCCCUACUGCUGUCGGGAGGGUUCGGAGUCCGGAUCGGGGAUCUGCGACAACUACGUUGUUUAACAAUAAUAACGGACGUGCUGAUGGAGGGAGAGUCAAGACGAAGCCAAGAAAGGCCGAGGCAGGUGCCAACAAGCACUAGCAGUUGUGCCCUUGCUGUGUUUGGUUGGGCCCUCCUCUUCCUCUUCUCCUUCUCCAGUCCUGUUGGCAUCGCGUACAAGAGGGCAGCCAGUGGACCCUCGCUGCCGCCAUUGCUGGGGUGGGCCGUGCUCCAGCCUUGUGCGGUUGGCAGGCCUACUAGCUGUAGAGUAUAGUGGAGGUGGAGUAGUAUUUUUCGCUUCCAUUGGCCUCCAUCCACCUCUCCUCCACUCGACCUGCGCUUCACUACAGCCCACUGGCAGGGGAAGGGGAGCGUCGACCAAUUCGUCCCGCCCUCGCCGCGCCGCUGGCCUCGCUCGCGUGCCCUCCCCGAUGGCGGCAGCGGCGAUCCACCAGUUCGCCGAGUGUAUCACCUGCCACGCCUGGAGCCCCGACCAGUCGAUGAUUGCCUUUUGCCCAAACAACCAUGAAGUACAUAUCUAUAAAUUCUUCACAGACAAGUGGGAGAAACUUCAUGUUUUGUCAAAGCAUGAUCAAAUAGUUUCGGGAAUAGACUGGAGUAAUUCAUCCAACAAAAUCGUAACAGUUUCACAUGAUAGAAAUUCGUAAGUAUAUGUCAAAGUGCAAAUUUCUAGAAGAUCUAUCUUGUUUCUUACUCUGGCAGGGGAUAGGUGGGUACAUAUAUAUAUUUUCAUUUGACCUCAGAUAUGUUUGGACACAAGAAGGAUCUGAUUGGAUACCUACUCUGGUUAUUCUAAAGUUAAAUCGUGCAGCUUUAUGUGUUCAGUGGAGCCCAAAAGAAAACAAGUUUGCCGUGGGAAGUGGUGCCAAAUCUGUGUGUAUUUGUUAUUAUGAACAAGAAAACAAUUGGUGGAUUAGCAAGGUUAUCAGGAAAAGGCAUGAAUCUUCUGUCACUAGUCUUGCAUGGCAUCCAAACAAUAUAUAUCUUGCAACAACGUCUACAGAUGGUAAAUGCAGAGUGUUCUCUACUUUUAUCAAGGGUGUAGACACAAGGGGAUCACAAUCGAGCACUUCAACCAAUUCAAAAUUCGGAGAGCAAAUUGCUCAGCUUGAUCUAUCAUCUACCUGGGUAUUUGGUGUAAGGUGGUCACCAAGUGGGAAGACAUUGGCCUAUGCAGGGCAUAACUCCAUGGUUUAUGUCAUCGAUGAAGUUGAAUCUUCUCCUGUGGCCCAAAACUUGACGCUGCGUGAUCUGCCUCUCCGUGAUGUGGGUUCUUUUUGUCUCUGAGCGCACAUUGGUUGGUGUCGGAUUUGACUGCAAUCCUAUGAUCUUUGCUGCUGAUGAUACUGGGCUUUGGAGUUUCGUAAGAUUCUUGGACGAGAUGAAAGCUGCUCCAUCAGCUUCAAAAGCCUCACAGCUCUCUGAAGCCCUUGGAAAGCUAUAUGGACAAUCAAAGCAGGGGGCUAGUAGCGACACUGUUGAACCAUCGAAAGCUCGUGGUGGGGCCCAUGAGAAUUGCAUAACGUGUAUUGUACCCUUGAGAAAAGGAAGCGAUGGUACUAUCAAACGAUUCAGCACGUCAGGAUUGGAUGGUAAGGUCGUGGUAUGGGAUUUGGAAAACCACGUCAGCAUUGCAAAAUAGCUCGAGGGAAGGCUUUCGUUAACAAUCAAAUCGAGGGGGCUUCUGUCAUUACCCAUCGUGCUCAGGGGACCACCAUUCGUGGCAGCGGGGUCCUGCAGGUUUUCAAGAUCCAGGGCCAGCCAGGUAGAUUUUUUUUGGGUGCCUGUACACAGAAACAUUGCCUUAGCGUAGGGAGAACUUGCAUCUAUCAAGUAGAUUCAAUUUUUGGCGAGUAAUUGUCCUUUGAAUUGAGUCCAUACGUAUUGUGUAUCCUUGCUCCCAAACAAACCCGUACCGUAUAGUUUUUAGCUAGGUAGGUAGGCAAUUGACGUCAUCUCUUAUUUCUGGCGCCAUGUGUAAAAUAACCACACACGGAAUUCAUCCGCGGAUGCUGCAUCUCCAACAAUGAGACUUAAAAUAGUGGCCCAAAAAUUAAAAUAAGAUAUUGAUGAAGCCGUUUGUUUU